rnacentral:rRNA from 1 species
UGCCAGCAGCCGCGGUAAUACGUAGGGGGCCAGCGUUGCUCGGAAUUACUGGGCGUAAAGGGUUCGUAGGUGGUGCGGCAAGUUGGAAGUGAAAUCUCUGGGCUUAACCCAGAGGCUGCUUUCAAAACUGCCGUGCUCGAGUGCGAGAGAGGCCAGUGGAAUUGCAGGUGUAGCGGUGAAAUGCGUAGAUAUCUGCAGGAACACCCGUGGCGAAGGCGGCUGGCUGGAUCGCAACUGACACUGAGGAACGAAAGCUAGGGGAGCAAACAGGAUUAGAUACCCUGGUAGUCCUAGCCCUAAACCAUCAGAACUUGGGGUGGCCCGCGUAGGCGGGUCGUCCCGUAGCUAACGCGUUAAGUUCUGCGCCUGGGGAGUACGGUCGCAAGACUGAAACUCAAAGGAAUUGACGGGGGCCCGCACAAGA